rnacentral:rRNA from 1 species
AUUGAACGCUGGCGGCAGGCUUAACACAUGCAAGUCGAGCGAGCGGCGGACGGGUGAGUAAUGCCUGGGAAUCUGCCUUAUGGAGGGGGAUAACUACGGGAAACGGUAGCUAAUACCGCAUACCAUCAGAUGUGCCCAGAUGGGAUUAGCUAGUAGGUGGGGUAAUGGCCUACCUAGCCGACGAUCCCUAGCUGGUCUGAGAGGAUGACCAGCCACACUGGAACUGAGACACGGUCCUGACUCCUACGUGAGGCAGCAGUGGGGAAUAUUGCACAAGGGGCGCAAGCCUGAUGCAGCCAUGCCGCGUGUAUGAAGAAGGCCUUCGGGUUGUAAAGCACUUUCAGCGAGGAGGCGUUACUCGCAGAAGAAGCACCGGCUAACUCCGUGCCAGCAGCCGCGGUAAUUC